CUGGCGGCNUGCUUANNNCAUGCANUCGAACGGUAACAGGAGAGAGCUUGCUCUCUUGCUGACGAGUGGCGGACGGGUGAGUAAUACAUGGGAAUCUGCCCUGAGGUGGGGGAUAACCCGGGGAAACUCGGGCUAAUACCGCAUGAUCUCUUCGGAGCAAAGUGGGGGACCUUCGGGCCUCACGCCUUGGGAUGAGCCCAUGUCUGAUUAGCUAGUUGGUGGGGUAAAGGCCUACCAAGGCAACGAUCAGUAGCCGGCCUGAGAGGGUGUACGGCCACACUGGGACUGAGACACGGCCCAGACUCCUACGGGAGGCAGCAGUGGGGAAUAUUGGACAAUGGGGGCAACCCUGAUCCAGCAAUGCCGCGUGUGUGAAGAAGGCCUGCGGGUUGUAAAGCACUUUUAUCGGGGAAGAAUAGGUUGUCGUUAAUANCGCCAACACUUGACAUUACCCGUUGAAUAAGCACCGGCUAACUCCGUGCCAGCAGCCGCNGUAAUACNGNGGUGCNANCGUUAAUNNAAUUACUGGGCGUAAAGGGGGGUGNGGNNNGGAACCUUAAGUCUGAUGUGAAAGCCCCGGGCUUAACCUGGGAAUGGCAUUGGAAACUGGGUUNUCUA
rnacentral:rRNA from 1 species